AGUGAACGCUGGCGGUAGGCCUAACACAUGCAAGUCGAACGGCAGCACAGUAAGAGCUUGCUCUUACGGGUGGCGAGUGGCGGACGGGUGAGGAAUACAUCGGAAUCUACUUUUUCGUGGGGGAUAACGUAGGGAAACUUACGCUAAUACCCCAUACGACCUACGGGUGAAAGCAGGGGAUCUUCGGACCUUGCGCGAUUGAAUGAGCCGAUGUCGGAUUAGCUAGUUGGCGGGGUAAAGGCCCACCAAGGCGACGAUCCGUAUCUGGUCUGAGAGGAUGAUCAGCCACACUGGAACUGAGACACGGUCCAGACUCCUACGGGAGGCAGCAGUGGGGAAUAUUGGACAAUGGGCGCAAGCCUGAUCCAGCCAUACCGCGUGGGUGAAGAAGGCCUUCGGGUUGUAAAGCCCUUUUGUUGGGAAAGAAAAGCAGCAGGUUAAUACCCCGCUGUUCUGACGGUACCCAAAGAAUAAGCACCGGCUAACUUCGUG
rnacentral:rRNA from 1 species